rnacentral:lncRNA from 1 species
GGCCAGAGGCCCCAGCUGGGAGGACCCGGCUGGGAGGACCUGCCCUGCGAGGAGGAGUGGAUCAGGGUCCCACUUAAAGAAGCAGCCUGGCCACGCCUUGACAAAACAGCUGUGUUGUGGUGGGGAACUGCCUCUGCCCCUGUCGCCUUAGACUCUCCAAAGCGCGCAGGCUGGACAGCUAAGUCCUGGUCCAACCAACCCAGGUGGCAGCCCUCCCCUCCCCCAGGCACUCCGUCCCAGGGAGAAAUCAGAGCUCUGUGCCUAAUACCUGAGGACGGGUGUGGCUGGAGUGCCUGGCUGGGAGGUCCCACUCAGUAAGGAGGAAUGGAUGGGGCCCUGCUUAAAGAGGAAGCCUGGCCACAAUCUGGCAAGGCUGCUGUGCCGCGCUGCUGGGGGUACCCUUCCUCCUCUGGACCAUUUGGACUCUCCAAAGCCUGCAGGCUGGAAUGGCUGAGUCAUUCAACCAACACAGGUGGCGGCCUUCCCCUCCCUCAGGCACUCUGUCCCAGGGAGAGAUCAGAGUUCUGUCCCUAAUAUGUGCGGGGGAUGUGGCUGGAGGGCCUGGCUGGGAGGUCCCACCCAGUGAAGAAGAAUGGAUCCUGUGCCACAUUAAGAAGCAGUCUGGCCACGAUCUGGCAAAGCUGCUGUGGUGCUCUGUUUUGGGGACUCUUCCUUGUCUGGGCCGUUUGGACUUUCCAAAGCCCACAGGCUGGAACAGCUGAGUCGACCAAACAACAGAGAUGACGCCUGCCCAUCCUCAAGGUGGCUCAGUCUGGUCUCAGGCCCCACCUCCAGCAUUCAACAUGACAUUUGGGUGAAGACAAAUAUCCAAACUAUAUCAGAGUCCAACCUAGAAGAAUAAUGAAGAGACGUCCCAGGAUGACAGCUGCACCGCAGGCCUACAGAGCAAUCAGUCCAAAUUGGAACAGGAAGAUGGAGGACUCCAGGAAGAAGGAUGUAAAUGGAGGAAUGGUGACUGAUGGAGCAUGGUGGAGGAAGCCACAGCCUGGGGUACGCAUGGAGGUGAUGCUUCAGAGGAAGGAGUUGCUCUUUCUCUGCAGGAGCCUGGAGCGUCUUGGUCUUGACAAUGCCAGGGCAGUACACUGAAAGGCUGUAACAUUGGAUGCAUGCUCCACUCCUCUCCCUCCCUCCUGAGGAAGAAGUCUCGGGGUCCC